rnacentral:rRNA from 1 species
UACGUAGGGCGCAAGCGUUGUCCGGAAUUAUUGGGCGUAAAGAGCUCGUAGGCGGUUUGUCGCGUCUGCUGUGAAAACCUAAGGCUCAACCUUGGGCUUGCAGUGGGUACGGGCAGACUAGAGUAUUGCAGGGGAGACUGGAAUUCCUGGUGUAGCGGUGAAAUGCGCAGAUAUCAGGAGGAACACCGGUGGCGAAGGCGGGUCUCUGGGCAAUAACUGACGCUGAGGAGCGAAAAGCGUGGGGGAGCGAACAGG